rnacentral:rRNA from 1 species
GAUGAACGCUGGCGGCGUGCCUAAUACAUGCAAGUCGAACGAAGAUCUAGCUUGCUAGAUCUUAGUGGCGAACGGGUGAGUAAUACAUAAAUAAUCUGCCCAUAUGACUGGGAUAACGAUUGGAAACGAUAGCUAAUACCGGAUAGGUUGAUUGGAAGCAUCUCUGAUUAAUUAAAGUAGGAUUUCUACACAAAUGGAUGAGUUUAUGGCGCAUUAGUUAGUUGGUGGGGUAACGGCCUACCAAGACGAUGAUGCGUAGCCGACCUGAGAGGGUGACCGGCCACACUGGGACUGAGACACGGCCCAGACUCCUACGGGAGGCAGCAGUAGGGAAUUUUCGGCAAUGGGCGCAAGCCAGACCGAGCAACGCCGCGUGAGUGAUUAAGGCCUUCGGGUUGUAAAGCUCUGUUGUAAGGGAAGAACAUUCAGGAUAGGAAAUGAUCUUGAACUGACGGUACCUUACCAGAAAGCCACGGCUAACUACGUGCCAGCCGCCGCCGUAACAC